ACAGCAGCAGCCACGGUAAAACGUAGGUGGCAAGCGUUGUCCGGAAUUAUUGGGCGUAGAGGGCUCGCAGGCGGUUUCUUAAGUCUGAUGUGAAAGCCCCCGGCUCAACCGGGGAGGGUCAUUGGAAACUGGGAAACUUGAGUGCAGAAGAGGAGAGUGGAAUUCCACGUGUAGCGGUGAAAUGCGUAGAGAUGUGGGGGAACACCAGUGGCGAAGGCGACUCUCUGGUCUGUAACUGACGCUGAGGAGCGAAAGCGUGGGGAGCGAACAGGAUUAGAUACCCCGGUAGUCCCUGUCUCUUAUAC
rnacentral:rRNA from 1 species